ensembl:lncRNA
GUCACCCCAGCAUGGGAUGCCAAAUCCGUAUCCAAAGCUACUUCCCACCAUCCACGCUAAACAUGCUUCCCUUUCUCUCGCUCCCCAUCUCCCCUCCUUGUUUACAAACACGUUUACAAGUACUUGAUAGGUGACCUUAUUUACUUAGUAACCUGUGGAUUCAUUUAUCUUGAAAUUAGCAGGAAGGGGGAGGAUGGAGUGAACAGGCCAGCGGAGAAACUUUCAUCUCUGUGCAAGAAGGGAGGAGAGACUUAGAUGCUCAUCACCUUCUCAGACGAAGAUUUAAGCUCAAAUGCUCUGGAGUGUGACUCACAAGCCUUUGCAGCUCGGACAGCUUUGCAGAGUGAGCUACCAGCAACCUCUUCGUCCUUCAGGUUACAUCCCUGAAUAAGCUCAAGGUAACUCAUUCCUCAGAGCAACCAUCCA